UGAUGUCCAGGGCUCGACGGUG
rnacentral:piRNA from 1 species